UACGAAGGGGACUAGCGUUGUUCGGAAUUACUGGGCGUAAAGCGCGCGUAGGCGGAUCGCUAAGUCAGGGGUGAAAUCCCAGGGCUCAACCUCGGAACUGCCUUCGAUACUGGAAGUCUUGAGUCCGGGAGAGGUGAGUGGAACUCCGAGUGUAGAGGUGAAAUUCGUAGAUAUUCGGAAGAACACCAGUGGCGAAGGCGGCUCUCUGGUCUACUACUGACGCUGAGGCGCGAAAGCUAGGGGAGCAAACGGG
rnacentral:rRNA from 1 species